UGCGUCUAUUCUUCUUCGGAAGAAAACUGAGAAAAUUUCUCAAAUUCUUCUUCAUCUCUUCUUCUUCUCCAUUUUUUUCUUCUUCUUCGUCAUCGUCCUCUUCUUUGUUCUCGUCAUCUUGCUUCUCUCAUUGUUAGGGUUUUAAACUCUUCAAAGGCUUGCGCAUUUGAAGUCAUUUCUUACCUUCAGAAGCAAUUUAAAGAGUUUGAUGAAGAAGUGUCAUUUUCAAGGAUCCUUAGAUAGCUACAACGAGCAAUAAAAAUAAAAUUGAGGCUCAUUUAUUAUUUGAUCCUCUGCAAAUUGAUUUCUGAAACAUAAUAUAGCUGCAGUUUCUUGCAGUAGUUGCUGCAUAUUUUUCAGUAAUUGUUGCAUAAUUUUAUAGCAAUUGCUGAAGAAUAUGCACCAACUGUUGCACACAACUGCAACUAUCAUAUGUUUUCAGAAGUUAGUUGUUAAUUGUAAUUUAUUGAUAUAAUUUUAUUCAAUUAUUUUCAUACAUUACUAUAUUUAUUAAAAUAAUUUAUUCUACA